UGUUAUGAUAUAUGUAAUGCUAUUUUAGUAUAGUUGACUCGUAGGUGUCAUUCUUUGAAGAAUUUUUUCCGAUUUGUACACUUCUUUUAGGAACUGAUCUAGAAAACAAGAAGCUUGACCUUGAAAUCCGAUUUUAUAGUGGUACAAUUUGUAGAUGAAGAUAUAGAAAAUUGUCUUUCCCCUCUGUCUUGAUGAUUCAGUUUUUGCUGAUAUUAUUGGUUAUAUUCUUAUUUCUUUUAAUGCUUGCAUGCUCUUGAUUACCACUGCUUGCCCCUAGAGUGUUGUAUUCUUUGCUUUAUAUGGUGAUGGGGCUGCUAAUCAAGGGCAGUUGUUUGAGGAUUUGAACAUCUCUGCACUUUGGGAUCUGCCUGCAAUUUUGGUCUGCGAGAAUAAUCAUUAUGGUAUGGGGAAGGCUGAGUGGAGAGCCGCAAAGAGUCCUGCUUACUACAAACGUGGGGAUUAUGCUCGUGGUUUGAAGGUGGAUGGAAUGGAUGCUCUUGCUGUGAAGCAAGCUUGCACGUUUGCCAAAGAACAUGCCUUUCUGCUUUUAAUACUGCCAUAGCUUGUAAUA